rnacentral:rRNA from 1 species
CGUAGGUGGCAAGCGUUGUCCGGAUUUAUUGGGUUUAAAGGGUGCGUAGGCGGCCCCAUAAGUCAGUGCUGAAAUAUCCCGGCUUAACCGGGAGGGUGGCAUUGAUACUGUGGGGCUUGAGUAAAGUUGAGGUUGGCGGAAUUGACGGUGUAGCGGUGAAAUGCUUAGAUAUCGUCAAGAACACCGAUAGUGUAGACAGCUAACUAAGCUUUAACUGACGCUGAGGCACGAAAGUGUGGGGAUCAAACAGGAUUAGAUACCCUGGUAGUCCACACUGUAAACGUUGAUUACUCGAUGUUGGCGAUACACAGUCAGCGUCUUAGCGCAAGCGAUAAGUAAUCCACCUGGGGAGUACGCCGGCAACGGUG